GAUCCGUCUCUCUCUCCGUUCGCGCCACCGCCGGUUACGAUUUGAACGCUUUCACUUUCGAUCCUAUCAAGGAAUCGAUCGUCUCUCGUGAGAUGACCAGGAGGUACAUGACUGAUAUGAUUACUUUCGCUGAGACUGACGUCGUCGUCGUUGGUGCUGGAUCUGCUGGUUUGUCUUGUGCUUAUGAGAUCAGUAAGAACCCUAAUGUUCAGGUUGCUAUUAUCGAGCAAUCCGUUAGUCCCGGUGGUGGUGCUUGGCUCGGUGGUCAGCUUUUCUCCGCCAUGGUGAGAUUAGAUUUUUUUAUUGAUUUGCAUGUCAGAUUAGUUCGAUCAUUUAUCAUCCGGAGAGUUCUGAUUCUGAUUUAAUGGCGAUUUAGGUUUAGAUUGAAUCACUCAAUUUAGAGUUUUAUUCUUCUGGGAUUUGAUUGUUGUGUUUGUAUGGCAGAUUGUUCGCAAACCAGCUCACUUGUUCCUUGACGAGAUUGGUGUUGCUUACGAUGAGCAAGACAACUACGUUGUGGUUAAGCACGCUGCUCUGUUCACAUCUACAAUCAUGAGCAAGCUUUUGGCUCGUCCUAACGUGAAGCUCUUCAACGCCGUGGCUGCUGAGGAUCUGAUCGUGAAAGGAAACAGAGUUGGUGGUGUGGUGACUAACUGGGCUCUUGUGGCUCAGAACCACGACUCACAGUCGUGCAUGGACCCUAACGUCAUGGAGGCCAAGAUUGUGGUGAGCUCUUGUGGACAUGAUGGUCCUUUUGGAGCCACUGGUGUCAAGAGGUUGAAGAGCAUUGGCAUGAUCGAUCAUGUUCCUGGGAUGAAGGCUUUGGACAUGAACACUGCUGAAGACGCUAUUGUGAGAUUGACCAGAGAGGUUGUUCCUGGUAUGAUUGUGACCGGUAUGGAAGUUGCUGAGAUCGAUGGUGCCCCAAGAAUGGUGAGUUUCUCUUUUUUUUACAUGUUCUUGACAAAUCUUUGAUUCGAUCAUGUCAUGUCCUGAGUAAAUUUGUUGUGUGAUGUAUAGGGACCAACCUUUGGUGCUAUGAUGAUAUCCGGACAAAAGGCCGGACAGCUUGCUCUUAAGGCUUUGGGACUGCCCAAUGCUAUUGAUGGAACUAACGUCGGAAACCUAAGCCCAGAGCUUGUCUUAGCCGCAGCCGAUUCAGCUGAAAC
rnacentral:lncRNA from 1 species